rnacentral:misc_RNA from 1 species
AACGCACAUUGCGCCCCUUGGUAUUCCGGGGGGCAUGCCUGUUCGAGCGUCAUUAUAACCCUCAAGCCUAGCUUGGUGUUGGAGCGUGUCCUUUGACAGCUCUCAAAAUCAGUGGCGGCGCCUUCUGGUUCUAAGCGUAGUAACUUUUCUCGCUAUAGCUCCCGGAGGUGUUCUGCCAGAACCCCUAAUUUUCUAUGGUUGACCUCGGAUCAGGUAGGGAUACCCGCUGAACUUAA